rnacentral:misc_RNA from 1 species
GCAGAGAAUGAGACACAUUUGGUAACCAUUAAUCUCUUCAAAUUUCUGCUUUCCUCUAUGCUAGUAUUAAGAGGGUCACAUUACAAAAUCCCCUGAAAAUUUGGUAUUCUUCUUCUGAGGACAAAUCUAAAAGCAGGAAGCACUUGCUAGUCCAUACAGUUUUGCCAGAACUUCUCAAGUGUUGUGUCAAAUAUCCAAUGGAUAUAUAUGGAGGUUAGAGUUAUCAAUUAGAGGUGUAAUUUAUUGUUUCUGAGCAGGUUGAAUUGGAG